rnacentral:rRNA from 1 species
GAAUGGCACCACGAAGGUUAUACUGUCUCCCCUUUUUAAUCAGUGAAACUAAUCUCCCCGUGAAGAAGCGGGAAUAAAACUAUAAGACGAGAAGACCCUAUGGAGCUUUAGACUACAUAACAAUUGCUAUCUAUUUAUUUAUCCCCCGGGAACUCAAUUAUAUUAAUUCAUAUUGAUUACUAGUCUUAGGUUGGGGUGACCGCGGAGUAAAAUACAACCUCCAUGAUGAAAGAAACUUAAUUUCUUAACCCAGAGUUACAACUCUAAGUACCAAAAAUUUGACAUAAAUUGACCCAAUAAUUUGAUCAACGAACCAAGUUACCCUAGGGAUAACAGCGCAAUCUACUUCAAGAGUCCCUAUCGACAAGUAG